GGAAGUAAAAGUCGUAACAAGGUUUCCGUAGGUGAACCUGCGGAAGGAUCAUUACCGAGUGCGGGCCCUCGCGGCCCAACCUCCCACCCUUGUCUCUAUACACCUGUUGCUUUGGCGGGCCCACCGGGGCCACCCGGUCGCCGGGGGACGUCGUCCCCGGGCCCGCGCCCGCCGAAGCGCCCUGUGAACCCUGAUGAAGAUGGGCUGUCUGAGUACUAUGAAAAUUGUCAAAACUUUCAACAAUGGAUCUCUUGGUUCCGGCAUCGAUGAAGAACGCAGCGAAAUGCGAUAAGUAAUGUGAAUUGCAGAAUUCCGUGAAUCAUCGAAUCUUUGAACGCACAUUGCGCCCCCUGGCAUUCCGGGGGGCAUGCCUGUCCGAGCGUCAUUUCUGCCCUCAAGCACGGCUUGUGUGUUGGGUGUGGUCCCCCCGGGGACCUGCCCGAAAGGCAGCGGCGACGUCCGUCUGGUCCUCGAGCGUAUGGGGCUUUGUCACUCGCUCGGGAAGGACCUGCGGGGGUUGGUCACCACCACAUUUUACCACGGUUGACCUCGGAUCAGGUAGGAGUUACCCGCUGAACUUAAGCAUAUCAAUAAGCGGAGGA
rnacentral:rRNA from 1 species